GGUAGCAACAGUGUGUUGUUUUUUCUUUUUGGAUGAAGAAAGAGGGUCACACAUCAUUUUGAACUCCGAUUGCUUUACUUUCAAAAGAUUAACCCUGCGACUAGAUGACCUCAACAUAAGUCGUUUUUUUUUUUUAUUUCUUUUAGACUACCCUUUCAGGUUUUCAUUCUAGUUGACUUAUUAUUCUUUUUUUUUUGAAAAUUCUUUUUUUGUCUCAAUGGAUUCAGGGAUCACCCUAUUAGCGCAAGCAAGAAAUCUUUUAGUCAGACCGAAUUGCCCCAAAGUAAAGGUUUACUUUGUUACUGAGG
rnacentral:lncRNA from 1 species